GAAAAGAAACCAACAGGGAUUGCCUCAGUAACGGCGAGUGAAGCGGCAACAGCUCAAAUUUGAAAUCUGGCUCUUUCAGGGUCCGAGUUGUAAUUUGUAGAAGAUGCUUCGGGUGUGGCUCCGGUCUAAGUUCCUUGGAACAGGACGUCAUAGAGGGUGAGAAUCCCGUAUGUGACUGGUUGCCUUCGCCCAUGUGAAGCUCUUUCGACGAGUCGAGUUGUUUGGGAAUGCAGCUCAAAAUGGGUGGUAAAUUUCAUCUAAAGCUAAAUAUUGGCCAGAGACCGAUAGCGCACAAGUAGAGUGAUCGAAAGAUGAAAAGCACUUUGGAAAGAGAGUUAAACAGUACGUGAAAUUGUUGAAAGGGAAGCGCUUGCAACCAGACUUGCGCGCGGUCGAUCAUCCGAGGUUCUCCCCGGUGCACUCGAUCGCGUUCAGGCCAGCAUCGGUUUCGGUGGUUGGAUAAAGACCUUGGGAAUGUAGCUCUCUUCGGGGAGUGUUAUAGCCCUCGGUGCAAUGCAGCCUACCGGGACCGAGGACCGCGCUUCGGCUAGGAUGCUGGCGUAAUGGUUGUAAGCGACCCGUCUUG
rnacentral:rRNA from 1 species